rnacentral:rRNA from 1 species
GAUGAACGCUGGCGGCGUGCUUAACACAUGCAAGUCGAACGAAGCACCUCUCCCGAAGAUUGACACAGCUUGCUGUAGAUUGAUUCAUUUGAGGUGACUGAGUGGCGGACGGGUGAGAACGCGUGGGUAACCUGCCUCAUAGAGGGGGACAACAGUUGGAAACGACUGCUAAUACCGCAUAGUAAGAAGAAUUCGCAUGUUUUCUUCUUGAAAGAUUUAUCGCUAUGAGAUGGACCCGCGUCUGAUUAGCUAGUUGGUAAGGUAACGGCUUACCAAGGCGACGAUCAGUAGCCGGCUUGAGAGAGUGAACGGCCACAUUGGGACUGAGACACGGCCCAAACUCCUACGGGAGGCAGCAGUGGGGAAUAUUGCACAAUGGGGGAAACCCUGAUGCAGCGACGCCGCGUGAGUGAAGAAGUAUUUCGGUAUGUAAAGCUCUAUCAGCAGGGAAGAUAAUGACGGUACCUGACUAAGAAGCCCCGGCUAACUACGUG